UCAAACUUGGUCAUUUAGAGGAAGUAAAAGUCGUAACAAGGUAACCGUAGGUGAACCUGCGGUUGGAUCAUUAAAAAUUUAAAUUAGUCUCUGGAUUAACCUAGUUAUCCAUGAUGGCUAUCAACACCUGUGCACUUUAUGUAUCUUGGGUUUGGAUUUAACCUGCCCAAAAUUUUAUAAAACCCCUAUUGAUUAAGUCUGAGUAAAAUAUUUAAUAUUUAAACAACUUUUGACAACGGAUCUCUAGGCUCUCGCAUCGAUGAAGAACGCAGC
rnacentral:misc_RNA from 1 species